rnacentral:misc_RNA from 1 species
GAUGAAGAACGUAGUGAAAUGCGAUACGUAAUGUGAAUUGCAGAAUUCAGUGAAUCAUCGAAUCUUUGAACGCAUAUUGCGCUCUCUGGUAUUCCGGAGAGCAUGCUUGUUUGAGUAUCAGUAAACACCUCAACUUCCAUAUCUUUUUUGAAAUGGGAGUUGGACUUGAGUGAUCCCAACGCUUUUCCUCACCGAAAAGUGGCGGGUUACUUGAAAUGCAGGUGCAGCUGGACUUUUCUCUGAGCUAUAAGCAUAUCUAUUUAGUCUGCCUGAAAAACAGAUUAUUACCUUUGCUGCAGCUAACAUAAAGGAGAUUAGUUCUUGUGCUGACUGAUGCAGGAUUCACAAAGACGGCUUCGGCCGACUUUGUAAACUCGAUCUCAAAUCAAGUAAGACUACCCGCUGAACUUAAGCAUAUCAAUAAGCGGAGGA